rnacentral:lncRNA from 1 species
UUAGCAACCAUCAUCAUUUCAUGAAGUAAAUUAAUUAUUUGAUGUUCACUUAUUCCACCUAUAUUUCGUUCGUAAAAACUACUACCAUCAUAGCUUGCAACUAAUUGAUAAUUUCUUUCUUCUAAUUGUACAUUAGGAAAAGAAGGUUUUGAAUAACAAUUUUUUCUACUUACAAAAUUAUUAGAUAUUGCAUUAAUUGUUAAAGGGGGGUGUAGCUAUUGAGUCUGGG